rnacentral:rRNA from 1 species
AGUGAACGCUGGCGGCAGGCCUAACACAUGCAAGUCGAACGGCAGCACAGCAGUAGCAAUACUGUGGGUGGCGAGUGGCGGACGGGUGAGGAAUACAUCGGGAUCUACCUUUUCGUGGGGGAUAACGUAGGGAAACUUACGCUAAUACCGCAUACGCCCUACGGGGGAAAGCGGCGGACCGCAAGGCGUCGCGCGAUGAGAUGAACCGAUGUCCGAUUAGCUAGUUGGCGGGGUAAAGGCCCACCAAGGCGACGAUCGGUAGCUGAUCUGAGAGGAUGAUCAGCCACACUGGAACUGAGACACGGUCCAGACUCCUACGGGAGGCAGCAGUGGGGAAUAUUGGACAAUGGGCGCAAGCCUGAUCCAGCCAUGCCGCGUGAGUGAAGAAGGCCCUCGGGUUGUAAAGCUCUUUUGUCCGGAAAGAAAAGCGCCGGGUUAAUACCCUGGUGUCCUGACGGUACCGGAAGAAUAAGCACCGGCUAACUUCGUGCCAGCAGCCGC